CCAGCACCCCGAGUGGUCGGGACGAUUAUUGGGCCUAAAGCAUCCGUAGCCGGUUUUACAAGUCCUCCGUUAAAUCCAACUGCUUAACAGAUGGGCCGCGGAGGAUACUAUAAGACUAGGAGGCAGGAGAGGCAAGCGGUACUCAGUGGGUAGGGGUAAAAUCCGUUGAUCCAUUGAAGACCACCAGUGGCGAAGGCGGCUUGCCAGAAUGCGCUCGACGGUGAGGGAUGAAAGCUGGGGGAGCAAACCGGAUUAGAUACCCGGGUAGUCCCAGCUGUAAACGAUGCAGACUCGGUGAUGGACCAGCUUCAUGCUAGUCCAGUGCCGCAGGGAAGCCGUUAAGUCUGCCGCCUGGGUAGUACGUUCGCAAGACUG
rnacentral:rRNA from 1 species